GGGGGAGAGAGACAGAAACUGAAUACCGGACUUGCCGACCGGAGAAGGAGUUUUUUUUUUUCUUCUUUGAAGAAAAGGAGCUUGAAAAGAGACAUUCAGACGGAGGGAUCUCUCUCUCUUCGUUUUGUCUGGCCACGUCCUCCCCUCCUCUGUCCCUCUGCUGGGCCGACCGGCGCAGACACACACACAGAGGACUGCGGCAGCCUCGGCCAUCACGGUCAGCUGGCUGUGGACCGGGAAGAAAUCUCCCCACCCCGUCUCGCUCCCCGUCAACCAAAGUCCUUUCAUGAUGAAUGGCAAGGUACGAUAAUAGCCUUCAGGUUGCCAUAGAAAUAAGACAGGGGCCCUGUGUGCGAUUUCUUUUUUUCUUGGAGCAUAAAUGACAGAGGACUCUUGUCAGGCGAACUCUUUUCCUUUUUUCCACCCUCACAGGCGGCUCCUCACUCUGCUUUCAUCUUUUCCUCCUCUUGCAUCUUUUCUUAUUCAGCAUAUCUUCUUUCUUCUGCCUAAUCUGAUGUCGGGCAUUAAAAUCAGAAUCUCGCGAGUUGAAACUGUCUUAGCUGCAAUGAAUUCAGCAGCUAAACCCGAGUGCCUGAGAUCCAGCGCUCUACGAUUGUUGCAUCUGUUUAUGAACCACCAACACCGACCCCACAAACAGUCCGGACAGGCCGUGCUCUCCGGGCUGCUGUGUGGCCGAUUGGAGCGCAUUUCCAUCACCGGCACCCGGGCAACUUUUUUCAAAACUGGUCUGACGAUAAAGAAGUAUCCGCGGCUUCUUUCGGGGAGCAGAUGGAUUUUUUUUUCUUUUUUUUUUCCGCCGAACGAGGCAUCCACCCAACUCAGGUCUCGUCCCUGCAUCGAGCAUCUCCGUGCAGCUGCUACACGGCCUUUGAAACGGAGCUCUUGUGAUCUUCGUUUCCCGCCAACAGCUGCUCUCAAGCUAAACAAAGUAUUGAUCCAGUCUGUCAUUUUCACACUUGUAUGUAUGUAUGUGUGUGUGGAGGUUGAUCGUGGUCUCUCAUGUGUUUGUAUUUCGUGUCAAGGGGGGGCGGGGCUUAUUGAUAAAGGGAUGAGCUCCAACCACAAGUGC
ensembl:lncRNA